rnacentral:tRNA from 1 species
GCAUUGGUGGUUCAGUGGUAGAAUUCUCGACUGCCACACAGGAGGCCGGGGUUCAAUUCCCGGCCAAUGCA